UUGUUGGUUGAACGAGUUGUAUAUAUAUAGGCAGAUUUAACAGUGUUGUGCUGUCGUAGAGUUAUCACUUGUUUGACCUUUGUUUUUAAAUUCUUUAGACUAAUCAGUGACGUUCAUAUCAAAUUAGUUAAAAAGCCAAACAAGUAUAAACUUGACGAGCAUUGAGGACCAAAAAUUCCAAAAGUUGUGCCAAACACGGCUAAAGUAAUCUUUGCUUUCGAUAAGAAAAUCCUUAGUAUUUCGAAUAAUUCAUACUUUUGCAAAGCGUAUUAUCUGAAUGAAUUGAGUUCCUAAUAAAUGUUAUAAUUCUACCGAUGUUUCUAUGUUAUAGUAAAUAGUAAAAGAACAGAAAUACCAAACUCCAAUUAUAAUUUGAUACGCCAGACGCGCGUUUCGUAUACAUUAGAUUCAUCAGUGACGCUCAGAUCAAAAAAGUUAGAAAGUCACACAAGAAUAAAUUUGAAGAGCAUUGAGGACCCCAAAUUCCAAAAAGUUGUGCCAAAUACGGCUUAGGUAAAUACAGGCAAUAGUAUUUAUACUUUGGUUAAGAAAAUCCUUAGUAUUUCGAAUAAUUCAUACUUUUGCAAACAGUAAAUCCAAUGCCACAACGUACGAUUUUCCAAAACAGCUUUCUAUGACUACUUUAUCGUUAUUUAUCAGACAAGUUACGGAGUAUCACCCAA
rnacentral:lncRNA from 1 species